UGGGGAAUAUUGGACAAUGGGCGCAAGCCUGAUCCAGCCAUGCCGCGUGUGUGAAGAAGGCCUUUUGGUUGUAAAGCACUUUAAGCGAGGAGGACGCUACUUGGAUUAAUACUCUAAGAUAGUGGACGUUACUCGCAGAAUAAGCACCGGCUAACUCUGUGCCAGCAGCCGCGGUAAUACAGAGGGUGCGAGCGUUAAUCGGAUUUACUGGGCGUAAAGCGUGCGUAGGCGGCUUCUUAAGUCGGAUGUGAAAUCCCUGAGCUUAACUUAGGAAUUGCAUUCGAUACUGGGAAGCUAGAGUAUGGGAGAGGAUGGUAGAAUUCCAGGUGUAGCGGUGAAAUGCGUAGAGAUCUGGAGGAAUACCGAUGGCGAAGGCAGCCAUCUGGCCUAAUACUGACGCUGAGGUACGAAAGCAUGGGGAGCAAACAGG
rnacentral:rRNA from 1 species